GACGAACUCUGGCGGCGUGCCUAAUACAUGCAAGUAUAACGCAGUUGCGAACGGGUGAGUAACGCGUAUGUAACUGCCUCAUAGCGGGGGAUAACUAUUGUAAACGAUAGCUAAUACCGCCUACUGUGAGAUUGACCUGCGUUGUAUUAGCUAGUUGGUGAGGUAAAGGCUCACCAAGGCGACGAUACAUAGCCGAACUGAUAGGGUGAUUGGCCACACUGGGACUUAGACACGGCCCAGAGUCAUACGGGAGGGAGCAGUAGGGAAUCUUCGGCAAUGGAUGGAAGUCUGACCGCGCAACGCCGCGUGAGUGAAGAAGGUUUUCGGAUCGUAAAGCUCUGUUGUUAGAGAAGCGGUAACUAGCCAGAAAGGGACGGAUAACUACGUGCCAGCAGGCGCGGUAAUAC
rnacentral:rRNA from 1 species